GGAGGGUGCAAGCGUUGUUCGGAAUUACUGGGCGUAAAGCGCGUGUAGGUGGUCGAGUAAGUCGAAUGUGAAAGCCCCGGGCUCAACCCGGGAAGUGCAUCCGAAACUGCUCGACUAGAGUCCCGGAGAGGAAGGCAGAAUUCCCAAUGUAGGGGUGAAAUCCGUAGAUAUUGGGAGGAAUACCGGUGGCGAAGGCGGCCUUCUGGACGGUGACUGACACUCAGACGCGAAAGCGUGGGGAGCAAACAGGAUUAGAUACCCUGGUAGUCCACGCUGUAAACGUUGCGAACUAGGUGUCGGGGGUAUUCACCCCUCCGGUGCCGGAGCUAACGUCUUAAGUUCGCCGCCUGGGAAGUACGGCCGCAAGGCUA
rnacentral:rRNA from 1 species